rnacentral:rRNA from 1 species
UGCCUCAGUAACGGCGAGUGAAGCGGCAACAGCUCAAAUUUGAAAUCUGGCCGCAAGGUCCGAGUUGUAAUUUGCAGAGGAUGCUUUUGGCGAGGUGCCUUCCGAGUUCCCUGGAACGGGACGCCAUAGAGGGUGAGAGCCCCGUACGGUAGGACCACCGAGCCUUUGUAAAGCUCCUUCGACGAGUCGAGUAGUUUGGGAAUGCUGCUCUAAAUGGGAGGUGUACGUCUUCUAAAGCUAAAUACCGGCCAGAGACCGAUAGCGCACAAGUAGAGUGAUCGAAAGAUGAAAAGCACUUUGAAAAGAGGGUUAAAAAGUACGUGAAAUUGUUGAAAGGGAAGCAUUCAUGACCAGACUUGGGCUUGGUUGAACAUCCGGCGUUCUCGCCGGUGCACUCUGCCAGUCCAGGCCAGCAUCAGUUUGCCCCGGGGGACAAAGGCGGUGGGAAUGUGGCUCUCUCCGGGGAGUGUUAUAGCCCGCCGUGUAAUGCCCUGGGGCGGACUGAGGAACGCGCUUCGGCUCGGAUGCUGGCGUAAUGGUCAUCAAUGACCCGUCUUGAAACACGGACCAAGGAGUCGUCUUCGUAUGCGAGUGUUCGGGUGUCAAACCCCUACGCGAAAUGAAAGUGAACGUAGGUGAGAGCUUCGGCGCAUCACCGACCGAUC